UCCACGGGCUGAUCAUCCACUUUGCUCCAAAGGCAUGGAAGCUGUCAUAUGAUGGAAUGCUGGCUCGAUCUUACAUCGCUGCCAUGCAUUACAACUACAAUGCUGACCGGCAAGUGGCCAAGCACAUUGUCAAGUGCUCUAAAGCACAAAAGCGCUGGACAGUCGUCGGUGUGAAAGGAAAGGCAUCAUAUGGCUACGUCCAGAAGUUGAUUGACCGUGUGCUGGAACUCGUCUCACAAUGGCCUUCAUACCGAGUGGCUGAGGAGGCUGUUGCAC